GUCUUCGAGGAGUAAAACGGGAACUCGUUCUCAUACCAUAUGCGUUCCACCGGUUUUAAAUAUGCGAGAAAGUCGGUGGUUCGAAUCCACCCGAAGACG